CAUCUCACUAAUUUAUCUUGUUUUUACAGAUUUUUAAUCACAUGGUUCUCAUCUUCCACUACUUUAGUAGGUAAAUCUAUAAAUUUUGGAUAUCUAUUUUUUCGUGUUCUAUAAAGGUAGAUAUAUAUAUAUCUAAUCUUCCACUCAUUUUUUUUUCUUUUUGAAGCUAUUUAAACGUUUUUGUUUAUGCAUGUUUUUCAGAUCUCGGUCAGACACUCAAAGACUUCUGAGAAGUCUUCUAAAAUAUUAUGCUCCAAAAGACUUCUUGAAAAUCUUCUGAAUUUAUGGAAGAUUUCCUAAAAGUCUUCUUUCAUGACAGAUCUGAGCAUUUUGGUAAAUCUCUAUGUCUGAUUUUUUCCAUUUGGUAAACUCUUGUUGCAUAAAGCUCUUAUCUUUUCCAUUUGGUAACAUCUUUU
rnacentral:lncRNA from 1 species